GUGCUCGCUUUGGCAGCACACAUACUAAAAUUAGAACGAUACAGAGAAGAUUAGCAUGGCCCCUGCACAAGGGUGACACGCAAAUUCGUGAAGCGUUCCGUAUUUUU
rnacentral:snRNA from 1 species